AAUGUGGGACAAUGGGUGAAAGCCUGAUCCAGCCAUCCCGCGUGAAGGAUGACGGUACUCCGGAUUGUAAACUUGUUUUGUACGGGAAUAAACCUGCUCUCGUGAGAGUACCUGAAUGUACUGUACUAAUAAACACCGGUUAAAUCCGUUCCCGCAGCCGCGGUAACACGGAGGGUGCAAGCGUUAUCCGGAUUUAUUGGGUUUAAAGGGUCCGUAGGCGGACCCGUAAUUCAGUGGUAAGACCUCAUAGCUUAACUAUGAAACUGCCAUUGAUACUGCGGGUCUUGAGUAAACUUGAAGUGGCUGGAAUAAGUAGUGUAGCGGUGAGAUGAAUAGAUAUUGCUUAGAACACCAAUUGCGAAGGCAGGUCACUAAGAUUUAACUGACGCUGAUGGACGAAAGCAUGGGUAGCGAACAG
rnacentral:rRNA from 1 species